CACAGAGGUGGCAAGCGUUGUUCGGAAUUACUGGGCGUAAAGGGCGCGUAGGCGGCCUUCUAAGUCAGACGUGAAAUCCCCCGGCUUAACCUGGGAACUGCGUCUGAUACUGGGAGGCUAGAGUGCGGGAGAGGGAUGCGGAAUUCCAGGUGUAGCGGUGAAAUGCGUAGAUAUCUGGAGGAACACCGGUGGCGAAGGCGGCAUCCUGGACCGACACUGACGCUGAGGCGCGAAAGCUAGGGUAGCAAACGGG
rnacentral:rRNA from 1 species